rnacentral:rRNA from 1 species
CGCAAGAGGAGCGGCAGACGGGAGAGUAACACGUGGGAACGUACCCUUCAGUACGGAACAACCAAGGGAAACUUUGGCUAAUACCGUAUACGUCCGUAAGGAGAAAGAUUUAUCGCUGAAGGAUCGGCCCGCGUCUGAUUAGCUUGUUGGUGAGGUAACGGCUCACCAAGGCGACGAUCAGUAGCUGGUCUGAGAGGAUGAUCAGCCUCAUUGGGACUGAGACACGGCCCAA